rnacentral:snRNA from 1 species
CGUGCCCGGACCCUGUCGCA